rnacentral:rRNA from 1 species
UACAGAGGGUGCGAGCGUUAAUCGGAAUUACUGGGCGUAAAGCGUGCGUAGACGGUUUCGUAAGUCGGGUGUGAAAGCCCCGGGCUCAACCUGGGAAUUGCAUUCGAGACUGCGUAGCUAGGGUGCGGAAGAGGGAAGCGGAAUUUCCGGUGUAGCGGUGAAAUGCGUAGAUAUCGGAAGGAACAUCAGUGGCGAAAGCGGCUCACUGGACCAUUACUGACGCUGAUGCACGAAAGCUAGGGGAGCAAACAGG